AUUGAACGCUGGCGGCAGGCCUAACACCUGCACGUCGAGCGGAGCGGCGGACGGGUGAGUAAUCCCUAGGAAUCUGCCUGGUAGCUGGGGAUAACGUCAGGAAACGGGCGCUAAUACCGCAUACUAUAAGAUGAGCCUAGGGCGGAUUAGUUGGUUGGUGGGGUAAAGGCCUACCAAGGCGACGAUCCGUAACUGGUCUGAGAGGAGGAUCAGUAACAUUGGAGCUGAGACAGGGUCCGGACUCCGAAGGGGGGCAGCAGUGGGGAAGAUUGGAAAAUGGGAGAGAUCCAGAUGCAGCCAUGCCGGGUGGUUGAAGAAGUUCUUGGGAUUGUAAAGCACUUUAAGCUGAGAGGCGUUACCAGCAGAAGAAGCACCGGCUAACUUCGUGCCGGCAGCCGCGGUAAUAC
rnacentral:rRNA from 1 species